GGUUAAGCGACUAAGCGUACACGGUGGAUGCCCUGGCAGUCAGAGGCGAUGAAGGACGUGCUAAUCUGCGAUAAGCGUCGGUAAGGUGAUAUGAACCGUUAUAACCGGCGAUUUCCGAAUGGGGAAACCCAGUGUGAUUCGUCACACUAUCAUUAACUGAAUCCAUAGGUUAAUGAGGCGAACCGGGGGAACUGAAACAUCUAAGUACCCCGAGGAAAAGAAAUCAACCGAGAUUCCCCCAGUAGCGGCGAGCGAACGGGGAGCAGCCCAGAGCCUGAAUCAGUGUGUGUGUUAGUGGAAGCGUCUGGAAAGGCGCGCGAUACAGGGUGACAGCCCCGUACACAAAAAUGCACAUACUGUGAGCUCGAUGAGUAGGGCGGGACACGUGGUAUCCUGUCUGAAUAUGGGGGGACCAUCCUCCAAGGCUAAAUACUCCUGACUGACCGAUAGUGAACCAGUACCGUGAGGGAAAGGCGAAAAGAACCCCGGCGAGGGGAGUGAAAAAGAACCUGAAACCGUGUACGUACAAGCAGUGGGAGCACGCUUAGGCGUGUGACUGCGUACCUUUUGUAUAAUGGGUCAGCGACUUAUAUUCUGUAGCAAGGUUAACCGAAUAGGGGAGCCGAAGGGAAACCGAGUCUUAACUGGGCGUUAAGUUGCAGGGUAUAGACCCGAAACCCGGUGAUCUAGCCAUGGGCAGGUUGAAGGUUGGGUAACACUAACUGGAGGACCGAACCGACUAAUGUUGAAAAAUUAGCGGAUGACUUGUGGCUGGGGGUGAAAGGCCAAUCAAACCGGGAGAUAGCUGGUUCUCCCCGAAAGCUAUUUAGGUAGCGCCUCGUGAAUUCAUCUCCGGGGGUAGAGCACUGUUUCGGCAAGGGGGUCAUCCCGACUUACCAACCCGAUGCAAACUGCGAAUACCGGAGAAUGUUAUCACGGGAGACACACGGCGGGUGCUAACGUCCGUCGUGAAGAGGGAAACAACCCAGACCGCCAGCUAAGGUCCCAAAGUCAUGGUUAAGUGGGAAACGAUGUGGGAAGGCCCAGACAGCCAGGAUGUUGGCUUAGAAGCAGCCAUCAUUUAAAGAAAGCGUAAUAGCUCACUGGUCGAGUCGGCCUGCGCGGAAGAUGUAACGGGGCUAAACCAUGCACCGAAGCUGCGGCAGCGACGCUUAUGCGUUGUUGGGUAGGGGAGCGUUCUGUAAGCCUGCGAAGGUGUGCUGUGAGGCAUGCUGGAGGUAUCAGAAGUGCGAAUGCUGACAUAAGUAACGAUAAAGCGGGUGAAAAGCCCGCUCGCCGGAAGACCAAGGGUUCCUGUCCAACGUUAAUCGGGGCAGGGUGAGUCGACCCCUAAGGCGAGGCCGAAAGGCGUAGUCGAUGGGAAACAGGUUAAUAUUCCUGUACUUGGUGUUACUGCGAAGGGGGGACGGAGAAGGCUAUGUUGGCCGGGCGACGGUUGUCCCGGUUUAAGCGUGUAGGCUGGUUUUCCAGGCAAAUCCGGAAAACUAAGGCUGAGGCGUGAUGACGAGGCACUACGGUGCUGAAGCAACAAAUGCCCUGCUUCCAGGAAAAGCCUCUAAGCAUCAGGUAACAUCAAAUCGUACCCCAAACCGACACAGGUGGUCAGGUAGAGAAUACCAAGGCGCUUGAGAGAACUCGGGUGAAGGAACUAGGCAAAAUGGUGCCGUAACUUCGGGAGAAGGCACGCUGAUAUGUAGGUGAAGUCCCUCGCGGAUGGAGCUGAAAUCAGUCGAAGAUACCAGCUGGCUGCAACUGUUUAUUAAAAACACAGCACUGUGCAAACACGAAAGUGGACGUAUACGGUGUGACGCCUGCCCGGUGCCGGAAGGUUAAUUGAUGGGGUCAGCGCAAGCGAAGCUCUUGAUCGAAGCCCCGGUAAACGGCGGCCGUAACUAUAACGGUCCUAAGGUAGCGAAAUUCCUUGUCGGGUAAGUUCCGACCUGCACGAAUGGCGUAAUGAUGGCCAGGCUGUCUCCACCCGAGACUCAGUGAAAUUGAACUCGCUGUGAAGAUGCAGUGUACCCGCGGCAAGACGGAAAGACCCCGUGAACCUUUACUAUAGCUUGACACUGAACAUUGAGCCUUGAUGUGUAGGAUAGGUGGGAGGCUUUGAAGUGUGGACGCCAGUCUGCAUGGAGCCGACCUUGAAAUACCACCCUUUAAUGUUUGAUGUUCUAACGUGGACCCGUAAUCCGGGUUGCGGACAGUGUCUGGUGGGUAGUUUGACUGGGGCGGUCUCCUCCUAAAGAGUAACGGAGGAGCACGAAGGUUGGCUAAUCCUGGUCGGACAUCAGGAGGUUAGUGCAAUGGCAUAAGCCAGCUUGACUGCGAGCGUGACGGCGCGAGCAGGUGCGAAAGCAGGUCAUAGUGAUCCGGUGGUUCUGAAUGGAAGGGCCAUCGCUCAACGGAUAAAAGGUACUCCGGGGAUAACAGGCUGAUACCGCCCAAGAGUUCAUAUCGACGGCGGUGUUUGGCACCUCGAUGUCGGCUCAUCACAUCCUGGGGCUGAAGUAGGUCCCAAGGGUAUGGCUGUUCGCCAUUUAAAGUGGUACGCGAGCUGGGUUUAGAACGUCGUGAGACAGUUCGGUCCCUAUCUGCCGUGGGCGCUGGAGAACUGAGGGGGGCUGCUCCUAGUACGAGAGGACCGGAGUGGACGCAUCACUGGUGUUCGGGUUGUCAUGCCAAUGGCACUGCCCGGUAGCUAAAUGCGGAAGAGAUAAGUGCUGAAAGCAUCUAAGCACGAAACUUGCCCCGAGAUGAGUUCUCCCUGACUCCUUGAGAGUCCUGAAGGAACGUUGAAGACGACGACGUUGAUAGGCCGGGUGUGUAAGCGCAGCGAUGCGUUGAGCUAACCGGUACUAAUGAACCGUGAGGCUUAACCUU
rnacentral:rRNA from 1 species